ACCUUGGAUGACUAGUGGUUAGGCCUCGGUGCUCUCACCGCUGCGGCCAGGGUUCGAUUCCCUGCCAGGGAC
rnacentral:tRNA from 1 species